GUCUGUUCCUUGCAGACCCCUGACCACGCGAUGAAUGAAUAAAGUACACUGACACACAGAUAUUCUGCUCUGCCAGUCCAGCUGAGGGUCCAAGCCCCUUACAGGCUCCCUGCUGAGCCCUGUAAACAGUUGCGACUCGGCAGGGAGCCUGUAAGCACCUGGGACCCUCAGAAUAUCUGUGUGUCAGCGUACUUUAUUCACCGGUCAUUGGGUCAGGGGUCUGCAAGGGACAGACUCCCCACAGCUGGUGACCCCUCGAGAGGAGCCCUGCCCCCAGCUGGUGCCCCAUGUGAGGCGCUGUGUGAGGAACUGUGUGAGGAAUGCUGUGAAGGAAACGCGACGAACCGCCCGAAAACGAAGACAGACAGAACAGCAUGUGGAGACUCACACAGUGAAAUUUUCCUCCAAGAAGUACUGCAUGAACAUACCAGGAAAACCAAAAGAAUUCACAGGACCUUUGAAAGAAGUGGCUUGCCGCUGCAAACUCCAUGAGACAGCUGAAAAACUGGCAAAGCGGCUGAGAUCUUUGAACUCCCUUUGAACUUUGAGAAUGGUGACUGGAAGAUGACAAUUCAUGUUGUUUUCAGGAAAGCUAUGACCGAGAAACCAAGGAACUCACUAUCUUGUCCUCUUGGAUGCCAGCUAUAAAUUGAAUCAAGUUGGACACCGGAAUUUUGACCACUUUCCACCUUUCUAUCGUGGUCAGGUUUCUUCAUGAGAAGAGGAGAUUCGGUCACAGGCAUGUACAGAAGAAGACUGUGUGAAGACACAGAAGAAGUUAUCUACAAACCAACGAGAGAGGCUUCAGAAGAAACCAACAUUGUUGACACCCUGAUCUUGGAUUUCUAGACUCAGGAAUUA
rnacentral:lncRNA from 1 species